GAUGAAGAACGCAGCGAAAUGCGAUAAGUAGUGUGAAUUGCAGAAUUCAGUGAAUCAUCGAAUCUUUGAACACACAUUGCGCCCCUUGGUAUUCCAUGGGGCAUGCCUGUUCGAGCGUCAUUUGUACCUUCAAGCUUUGCUUGGUGUUGGGUGUUUGUCUCGCCUUUGCGUGUAGACUCGCCUUAAAAUAAUUGGCAGCCGGCGUAUUGAUUUCGGAGCGCAGUACAUCUCGCGCUUUGCACUCAUAACGACAGCGUCCAAAAGUACAUUUUACACUCUUGACCUCGGAUCAGGUAGGGAUACCCGCUGAACUUAAGCAUAUCAAUAAGCGGAGGA
rnacentral:misc_RNA from 1 species